rnacentral:tRNA from 2 species
GGUCCCAUAGCUCAAUUGGAUUAGAGCGUCUCGCUACGGACGAGAAGGUUGAGGGUUCAAAUCCUUCUGGGACCUCCA